rnacentral:rRNA from 1 species
GGAAUCUUCGGCAAUGGGGGCAACCCUUACCGAGCAACGCCGCGUGAGUGAAGAAGGUUUUCGGAUCGUAAAGCUCUGUUGUAAGAGAAGAACGUGUGUGAGAGUGGAAAGUUCACACAGUGACGGUAACUUACCAGAAAGGGACGGCUAACUACGUGCCAGCAGCCGCGGUAAUACGUAGGUCCCGAGCGUUGUCCGGAUUUAUUGGGCGUAAAGCGAGCGCAGGCGGUUUCUUAAGUCUGAUGUGAAAGCCUUCGGCUCAACCGAAGAAGGGCAUCGGAAACUGGGAAACUUGAGUGCAGAAGAGGACAGUGGAACUCCAUGUGUAGCGGUGAAAUGCGUAGAUAUAUGGAAGAACACCAGUGGCGAAGGCGGUUGUCUGGUCUGUAACUGACGCUGAGGCUCGAAAGCAUGGGUAGCAAACA